rnacentral:snRNA from 1 species
GCACUCACCACUUUGGCAGCACCUAUACGAAAAUUGUCAUGAUACAGAAAUGAUUAGCAUGGUCCCUGCAGAAGGAUGACAUGCAAAUUCAUGAAGUCACAUAAUUUUUU